rnacentral:tRNA from 1 species
UCCCGGAUAACUCAGCAGGUAGAGUACGGCGUUUGGCUAUUGUCAAACGCUAUGGUGUCCCAGGUUCGAAUCCUGGUCCGGGAA